rnacentral:rRNA from 1 species
UCAUUUAAAGAAAGCGUAAUAGCUCACUGGUCGAGUCGGCCUGCGCGGAAGAUGUAACGGGGCUAAACCAUGCACCGAAGCUGCGGCAGCGACGCUUAUGCGUUGUUGGGUAGGGGAGCGUUCUGUAAGCCUGCGAAGGUGUGCUGUGAGGCAUGCUGGAGGUAUCAGAAGUGCGAAUGCUGACAUAAGUAACGAUAAAGCGGGUGAAAAGCCCGCUCGCCGGAAGACCAAGGGUUCCUGUCCAACGUUAAUCGGGGCAGGGUGAGUCGACCCCUAAGGCGAGGCCGAAAGGCGUAGUCGAUGGGAAACAGGUUAAUAUUCCUGUACUUGGUGUUACUGCGAAGGGGGGACGGAGAAGGCUAUGUUGGCCGGGCGACGGUUGUCCCGGUUUAAGCGUGUAGGCUGGUUUUCCAGGCAAAUCCGGAAAAUCAAGGCUGAGGCGUGAUGACGAGGCACUACGGUGCUGAAGCAACAAAUGCCAUGCUUCCAGGAAAAGCCUCUAAGCAUCAGGUAACAUCAAAUCGUACCCCAAACCGACACAGGUGGUCAGGUAGAGAAUACCAAGGCGCUUGAGAGAACUCGGGUGAAGGAACUAGGCAAAAUGGUGCCGUAACUUCGGGAGAAGGCACGCUGAUAUGUAGGUGAAGCGACUUGCUCGUGGAGCUGAAAUCAGUCGAAGAUACCAGCUGGCUGCAACUGUUUAUUAAAAACACAGCACUGUGCAAACACGAAAGUGGACGUAUACGGUGUGACGCCUGCCCGGUGCCGGAAGGUUAAUUGAUGGGGUCAGCGCAAGCGAAGCUCUUGAUCGAAGCCCCGGUAAACGGCGGCCGUAACUAUAACGGUCCUAAGGUAGCGAAAUUCCUUGUCGGGUAAGUUCCGACCUGCACGAAUGGCGUAAUGAUGGCCAGGCUGUCUCCACCCGAGACUCAGUGAAAUUGAACUCGCUGUGAAGAUGCAGUGUACCCGCGGCAAGACGGAAAGACCCCGUGAACCUUUACUAUAGCUUGACACUGAACAUUGAGCCUUGAUGUGUAGGAUAGGUGGGAGGCUUUGAAGUGUGGACGCCAGUCUGCAUGGAGCCGACCUUGAAAUACCACCCUUUAAUGUUUGAUGUUCUAACGUUGACCCGUAAUCCGGGUUGCGGACAGUGUCUGGUGGGUAGUUUGACUGGGGCGGUCUCCUCCUAAAGAGUAACGGAGGAGCACGAAGGUUGGCUAAUCCUGGUCGGACAUCAGGAGGUUAGUGCAAUGGCAUAAGCCAGCUUGACUGCGAGCGUGACGGCGCGAGCAGGUGCGAAAGCAGGUCAUAGUGAUCCGGUGGUUCUGAAUGGAAGGGCCAUCGCUCAACGGAUAAAAGGUACUCCGGGGAUAACAGGCUGAUACCGCCCAAGAGUUCAUAUCGACGGCGGUGUUUGGCACCUCGAUGUCGGCUCAUCACAUCCUGGGGCUGAAGUAGGUCCCAAGGGUAUGGCUGUUCGCCAUUUAAAGUGGUACGCGAGCUGGGUUUAGAACGUCGUGAGACAGUUCGGUCCCUAUCUGCCGUGGGCGCUGGAGAACUGAGGGGGGCUGCUCCUAGUACGAGAGGACCGGAGUGGACGCAUCACUGGUGUUCGGGUUGUCAUGCCAAUG